rnacentral:rRNA from 1 species
GGUAUAGUUCUUCGGAACUAGAGACCGGCGCACGGGUGCGUAACGCGUAUGCAAUCUACCUUUUACAGAGGGAUAGCCCAGAGAAAUUUGGAUUAAUACCUCAUAGCAUAGCAAUCUCGCAUGAGAUCACUAUUAAAGUCACAACGGUAAAAGAUGAGCAUGCGUCCCAUUAGCUAGUUGGUAAGGUAACGGCUUACCAAGGCUACGAUGGGUAGGGGUCCUGAGAGGGAGAUCCCCCACACUGGUACUGAGACACGGACCAGACUCCUACGGGAGGCAGCAGUGAGGAAUAUUGGACAAUGGGCGCAAGCCUGAUCCAGCCAUGCCGCGUGCAGGAUGACGGUCCUAUGGAUUGUAAACUGCUUUUAUACGAGAAGAAACACUCCAACGUGUUGGAGCUUGACGGUAUCGUAAGAAUAAGGAUCGGCUAACUCCGUGCCAGCAGCCGCGGUAAUACGGAGGAUCCAAGCGUUAUCCGGAAUCAUUGGGGUUAAAGGGGUCCGUAGGCGGUUUAGUAAGUCAGUGGUGAAAGCCCAUCGCUCAACGGUGGAACGGCCAUUGAUACUGCUAAACUUGAAUUAUUAGGAAGUAACUAGAAUAUGUAGUGUAGCGGUGAAAUGCUUAGAGAUUACAUGGAAUACCAAUUGCGAAGGCAGGUUACUACUAAUGGAUUGACGCUGAUGGACGAAAGCGUGGGUAGCGAACAGGAUUAGAUACCCUGGUAGUCCACGCCGUAAACGAUGGAUACUAGCUGUUGGGAGCAAUCUCAGUGGCUAAGCGAAAGUGAUAAGUAUCCCACCUGGGGAGUACGUUCGCAAGAAUGAAACUCAAAGGAAUUGACGGGGGCCCGCACAAGCGGUGGAGCAUGUGGUUUAAUUCGAUGAUACGCGAGGAACCUUACCAAGGCUUAAAUGUAGAUUGACCGGUUUGGAAACAGAUCUUUCGCAAGACAAUUUACAAGGUGCUGCAUGGUUGUCGUCAGCUCGUGCCGUGAGGUGUCAGGUUAAGUCCUAUAACGAGCGCAACCCCUGUUGUUAGUUGCCAGCGAGUCAUGUCGGGAACUCUAACAAGACUGCCAGUGCAAACUGUGAGGAAGGUGGGGAUGACGUCAAAUCAUCACGGCCCUUACGCCUUGGGC